rnacentral:rRNA from 1 species
GGACAGAAAGACCCUAUGAAGCUUUACUGUAGUUUGGAAUUGGGUUCGGGCUCUUCUUGCGCAGCCUAGGUGGGAGGCUAUGAAGAUAAACUUUUGGGUUUAUUGGAGCCAACAGUGAGAGACCACUCUAGAGGAGCUAGAAUUCUAAUGGCGUUCCUUGAAGCAGGACGCUUGACAGUUUCAGAUGGGCAGUUUGACUGGGGCGGUCACCUCCUAAAAGGUAACGGAGGUGUGCAAAGGUUCCCUCAGGCUGGACGGAAAUCAGCCGUAGAGUGUAAGGGCAGAAGGGAGCUUGACUGCAAGACCUACAAGUCGAGCAGGGGCGAAAGCCGGCCUUAGUGAUCCGACGGUUCCGAGUGGAAGGGCCGUCGCUAAACGGAUAAAAGUUACUCUAGGGAUAACAGGCUGA